rnacentral:lncRNA from 1 species
UUCAGGGACGCUUUUCGAUCGGAGAAGGGGGAGGGUUUCAAAAACCCAUGAAGCUGGUUGUGGUGGGCUAUGCUCUUACCUCCAAGAAGACUAAGAGCUUUUUGCAGCCCAAGCUUGAACGUUUAGCUAGGUAUCGAUUUUUUUUUUUUAUUAUCUACAGAAUCUCUCUGCUAUUUUGUUUGCAAAAUUACCUACAGAAUCUCCCUGUUCUUUUGUUUAAUAAUCGGUUUGGUUGUGCAGAAAAUUUGAGAAAUGAUCGAGUCUUAUGCUUCGACGAAAACCUCCUCUCGUUUCUAAUGAACCUUAUAGCUUUGCCCUGCUGAUUUCAUUUCCCCCCCCACCCUUUUUUUUUUCGCUCUCUUAUUUUUUAUAUUUUAUUUUUUAUUUGGGUUUUCUGCCAAAGGGAGGCUAGAUUUUUAUUUAUUUAUUUUUGGUUUAUUUUUUGUUUUUCCCUUAAAGCGGGGAUCUUUCUGUUUCUGCCCCAUAUAAGCUUUCUCCGUAGGGGAUGAGUUCGGUGUCUUUGACCACAAGAUCACUUCUGAAAAGUUUAGAAUAUUCAAUAUUCAUGAAUAUUAUAUGGUUGAUAUCGUUCUGGGGAAUCAUUUCUUGAUAUGGAGAAUCUUUGGUUCUUUUUUUUUUUGUUGGAAAAUUUGUGAAUUUUGGUUUUAUACGGUUUUAAUAUUGGACUAUUCAAACAAAGAUGUAUCAUUUUCAUUUGGUGCGAAGGAAAAUAGAAGUUCUUGUAAAAUCUCACAACUACCAUUCCAACCCCAAACAGCUAGAACCAGCUAAUAAUUUUUUGUUGAAUUUAACAUAAACUAUCUUUAACUUUGAAAUAUGUAUCCUGCCGCUGGUUAAAUACCCUGAUUUACUCCCUGCUGGUUGUUGUUGUCGGGGUCAGCACCCUAGGUUUGGGUUCAUAGAGCUUGGGCACGGAAGUUUCCACGCUUAUAAACAAAAAAUAAAUAAAUAAAUAAUUGAAAUACGUAUGACCGAAAUAAUUCAGAAACCUUUCUUGCACCGUACAUUAAAGUUUUAUAGAUGUUGUAGUCUUUUCUGGACCCUUUUAUUUAACCAGGAGCUAACUCGAUGAGAUUUCUGUUGAUUUUGCAAUUUUUGUCUGCUUCUUCCCCUCUUCUGUAAUGAAAAUUGUUGUUAUUGUUACUUUUCAUAUUGUAACGUGGAUACUUUUUGAGUAUUGUUUUGUUAAUCACUGUUCAUAACCACAUCUCCUGAUGUUGAUCUUUGUGCACUCAUGUUAUGAAAUGAAUCUAAUUUAAUUCUAUGCUCUCGGGUUAUGAGGUUAAUCUAAUUUAACUAUAUGCAUGUGGCAGGUAUUGGGUUAGCUCAUAAUGUUUUAUUUUCCUAUCCAUUUAUAGAGGGAAAUUGUUUAUAUUUUUUAUAUGAAAAUCUUGGUUUCUUUUAGUGAUUGUCUCUUUCUAAGAAAGACUAAUAAUAAACUAUAUGAGGUUUCAUGUUUUGGGCAUUAGAGUUUUAAUAUACGUUUAGUCUGUCCAUUGUUUACAUUUCCAUUUUUUCUAUUCAUUAACUGGCUAACGUUAUAAAUGCGGUGCAUUGAUGCAGGAAUAAGGGGAUAUCAUUUGUUGCCAUUGAUCAAAAUCGCUCCCUUUCAGAGCAAGGCCCCUUUGAUAUUGUGUUGCAUAAGGUUGGUAAAGAUUUCUCUUUUUCUUAUGCAGUUUCUCUUUAUAAAAAGUAAUGAUGAGUCUCCUCUAGUGGGCUUUUUAUUUUUUAUUUGGCUGGUGAUUACACCUGGGUUUGGUGAUUAUCAAUUAAUCUCUCUUAAAGUCAUUCUGUCAAUUAAUUAUUAUUGCUGUUGUCUGCAUGUUUAUGAGGUAGGUUUUGGUUUAAGGGGAACAUGCUCACCUUUAAUGGAUCUUUCUUUCUUUCCUUUUUGUAUUUUUAAUGCAGCUAUCAGGAAAGGAGUGGCGCCAGAUUCUUGAGGUUGGUCCAUUUAAAACUCUUCAUUAUUCUGCCAAUUAUAAGAAUUUGUUAAUUUUCUAGAACUGAAUGAUUACUAUUAUGCCACAAUGGCGUGACAUGCUACUCAUCUUAUGAUACUAUAUAUUCAUGCUGGCAACCAAACAAAUACUGACAUUGGCUGGUGGGCAACUUGAUUCUAAUAUUUGAAACUCAUUACUCUCUGAUAUAAUUUGCAGAGUGCUUGCUCUUUCCUCCAUCAUGAAUCAUGACCCAAUAAGUGAGGUCGAAGCCUCAAGAUUCCAGCAACUGAAGAUUUUUCGCCUUCCAUGGGCAAUCUAUCUGAUUUAUUCAGGUUUCCUUAAGUAUUAUUUGCAAAGGACUUUUGGAUUUUAUUUUUUUGAGUGGUUCAUUUUCCCUGGCAGUGGCGGAGCCAGCAUGGGCUUAGUCUCAAAUUUUAAAAAUAAAAAUUUUCCUUCUAUUAAUUAAUUAAGAAUUAACAAAAAUAAAAUCCAAAAGUGUAAGUUUGCCCCCCAUAAAAAAAAAUAACUUUGUGUGAGAAAAGGCAGGAUUAGAUAGAGUUAAAAAAAAAAAAAAAAAUAUAUAGAUAAGUCCGGAUGCUAAAUAGAUUUUAUAAACUAUUUGGUUGUUUUCAUUUUGAAGUUUAUUUAAAUCUUUAAAAUUAAUUUUUAUUUAAAUCCCAAUAUACAUCAUAAAAUAAAUUUUAAUAAUUUUUUUUGGUAAUUUUGUACUUGAUAUUUUAUUAAAUAUUCUUUUAUAAGUGGAUUGUCUUUAGUUUGAUUUUGUGAUCUUUUAAGUGUUUAGAUUUUUAGAUUUAAUAAGGUAAAUAGUAAUUUACAAAUAAUGACAUGAUUAUUUUAAUUUCAUUCAAUUGUUCACAUGGAGUAUUUCAUGUUUAAUUUUUAUCAUAGGAGAUUAUAUGGUUUAUAUGAUAUUUUGAAUAAUAGACAAUAAUUGUUACUUUUUAUUACCACUUAUGUUUUAUUUGAAGAGACUUAUGACUCCACCAAAUUUUGAAUCAUUAAAUCACUAAUGUUUUAAUGAUGGUGGAAUAUUUAUAUUUCCAUAUUGUAGAUAACCCAUAAAUAAAAAUUUUAUUACUGUUAAGUGAUUUAUAUUUAAUUAUUUGAAAAAUUCAAAGAAUUUAUUAGUGAAAUUGUUGAUUUUUUUCUAAAUUUUUUGUAGUAAAAACUUGCUAAAUUAUUUAUAUAUAAAAAAAAACAGUGACAUUUCUUGCCAUUUUUUAAAAUGCUUUUGAAAAAAUCUUCGAAUUUUUUAAUAAAAUCUCAAACUUAAAUAUUCUUAAUAAGAAAUUAUUUUACCAAUAUUUUUCACAUUGUUGUUAUUUAAUUUGAUAGAUUGUGUAUUUUUCUUUCCUUUCAUGAUUAAUGUCAAUCAUUGCUUACUUUAUUGAAUGAUGUUAAGACUAUUGUUUGUAAAAUAUCUAUAUAUAUUAUAAUCCACAAAUUUUCUACUUGCCCUUCCUGACCCCUUUUAUGACUUAUCAUCUGGUGGAGAUGAAUUAUCCAAUCCUAGAUACCUUGAUAUCCAGUAUUCUUUUUUUCAGGUUUUUGCUAUGCUUUUUAAAUUAUUCCACAUCAUUUUCUCCUUUUUUGGUUUGCUGGAUGCAUUGACAAGUUGAAUAUUUACACUUCUAUCCUGUGACAGAGUGGAUGAAAAUAUGCAUUUCCUUAGCACAUUUGGUAGGAAUGUAGCUGCAACGUUGUGUCCUAAAGCUAGAUUCAAGUUUAAAAUUUCUGUUAAAUGAAUAUCGUGCUUUUGAAACUUUGAGAACAUAGUGGUGUAUUAAUUUUAUUAAUUGAUUUUUUGGAACUUAUUUGACUACCAUUAAUUUCCUUAGUUCAUGCCAUUUUCUGAGUGAGAGAUGAUGUACUCAAACUCUAUUUAUAACCUUAUAUACCUGUUCGUGAUUUUUUUUUUCCUUAUUUCCAUAACAUUGGCAAACUAUUUAUAAAUAAUGGGUGACUCAGGUUAUUCUAUAAAAGAAAUUAUUUUCUACUUUUUAUGUGCUACAACUUUUGCAAUUAAUCCUAUGUUUGUGGUCAGAUUUCUUGAAGUUAUACGGGCUGCUUUAACUAUUUAGUUACAUGUAUCCGUGCCCCCACCUAAGAAUGUAUUGGCAAUAAGGCAAGGUCCAUUACCCUGAAUUUCCAGGGCAUUUUUACUUCAAAUUCCUCUGGUUGACUGUACAACUGUACUGAGCUUACCAAAUGACUUCCCCAGUUUGAGAAUGCUGAUACACUGAUUCAUCACCACAAUUUACAAGGUCAACCUGCACCACCACAACUGGCAUAUUCUGUCCACAUCCAUACCCAUACCAUUGUAUAGUACAAGCGCAUAAUAAGCCCAAUGUUUCUUCAUUUUAAUCUGAACAAAAGAUUGGGGAUGCAGG